rnacentral:SRP_RNA from 12 species
GGGCAUGACGGAGGCUGUCUUCACAGAGCCAGCGACCCCCCUCGUCUCG